rnacentral:rRNA from 1 species
CAGUAGCCGCGGGAACACGAAGGGUGCAAGCGUUACUCGGAAUUACUGGGCGUAAAGCGUGCGUAGGUGGUGGUUUAAGUCCGUUGUGAAAGCCCUGGGCUCAACCUGGGAAUUGCAGUGGAUACUGGGUCACUAGAGUGUGGUAGAGGAUAGUGGAAUUUCCGGUGUAGCAGUGAAAUGCGUAGAGAUCGGAAGGAACAUCUGUGGCGAAGGCGACUAUCUGGGCCAACACUGACACUGAGGCACGAAAGCGUGGGGAGCAAACAGGAUUAGAUACCCCCGUAGUCCCUGUCUCUUAUAA